GACGAACGCUGGCGGCGUGCUUAACACAUGCAAGUCGAACGAUGAAGAAGAGAAACGCGAACUUCGGUUCAAAUUUCACUUCGGAUUAGUGGCAGACGGGUGAGUAACGCGUGAGCAACCUACCUCUUACAAAGGGAUAGCCUCGGGAAACCGUGAUUAAUACCAUAUGACACAUUCAUAAGGCAUCUUAAGAAUGUUAAAGCUACGGCGGUAAGAGAUGGGCUCGCGUCCCAUUAGCUAGUUGGUGAGGUAACGGCCCACCAAGGCGACGAUGGGUAACCGGCCUGAGAGGGUGAACGGUCACAUUGGAACUGAGACACGGUCCAAACUCCUACGGGAGGCGGCAGUGGGGAAUAUUGCACAAUGGAGGGAACUCUGAUGCAGCGACGCCGCGUGAGCGAUGAAGGAAUUCGUUUCGUAAAGCUCUGUUCUAUGGGAAGAAAAGGACUGUACCAUAGGAGAAAGCCCCGGCUAAAUACGUG
rnacentral:rRNA from 1 species